rnacentral:rRNA from 1 species
CGUAGGCUGUUAUAUAAGUCAGUGGUGAAAUAUUCGGGCUCANCCGGGAUACUGCCAUUGAUACUGUAUAGCUGGAAUAUGGUUGCUGUGGGUGGAAUGUGUGGUGUAGCGGUGAAAUGCAUAGAUAUCACACAGAAUAUCGAUUGCGAAGGCAACUCACAAAGCCAUUAUUGACGCUGAUGCACGAAAGUGUGGGGAUCAAACAGGAUUAGAUACCCUGGUAGUCCACACUGUAAACGAUGAUAACUAGCUGUCGGCGAUAGAUAGUCGGUGGCUAAGCGAAAGCGAUAAGUUAUCCACCUGGGGAGUACGACCGCAAGGUUGAAACUCAAAGGAAUUGACGGGGGCCCGCACAAGCGGAGGAACAUGUGGUUUAAUUCGAUGAUACGCGAGGAACCUUACCCGGGCUCGAACGGUGCAGGAAUAUGGUAGAGAUAUCAUAGCUAGCAAUAGUCUGUAUCGAGGUGCUGCAUGGUUGUCGUCAGCUCGUGCCGUGAGGUGUCGGCUUAAGUGCCAUAACGAGCGCAACCCUUGUCGUUAGUUACCAUCAAGUAAAGUUGGGGACUCUAGCGAGACUGCCACCGUAAGGUGUGAGGAAGGGGGGGAUGACGUCAAAUCAGCACGGCCCUUACGUCCGGGGCGACACACGUGUUACAAUGGUAGGUACAGAGGGGCGCUAUCCAGUGAUGGAGUGCGAAUCUCAAAAACCUAUCUCAGUUCGGAUUGGAGUCUGCAACUCGACUCCAUGAAGUUGGAUUCGCUAGUAAUCGCGCAUCAGCCAUGGCGCGGUGAAUACGUUCCCGGGCCUUGUACACACCGCCCGUCAAGCCAUGGAAGCCGGGGGUGCCUGAAGUUCGUGACCGCAAGGAGCGACCUAGGGCAAAACUGGUAACUGGGGCU